GCCUAAGGCAGGGCUAGUGACUGGGGUGAAGUCGUAACAAGGUAGCCGUACCGGAAGGUGUGGCUGGAUCACCUCCUUAAAGGGAGACCUAAUUCAGGUAGGAGACGAAAAAAAAGUAGUCGCUACCAAGAAUCAAUCCCAAAAGGUCGGAGCGAGGCGAAAUUGGCUUUCAAACUAGGUUCUGGGUUCACACAAGACCUGAAUCAGGAACAAGGGCUAUUAGCUCAGGUGGUUAGAGCGCACCCCUGAUAAGGGUGAGGUCCCUGGUUCGAGUCCAGGAUGGCCCACCUGCACAGGUGGCAAAAACAAAAAAAAGAAGCGAGGAAUCAGCACCUUAUCUUACUGACAUAGUAAGAGAGAAUGCUGGCUCUGAGUAAAGAGUCCAGAGGAACCUUGAAAACUGCAUAGAGCUAG
rnacentral:misc_RNA from 1 species